rnacentral:tRNA from 1 species
GAGGGGAGGUAGAACCAACGAGAGCUGCUAACUCUUGCAUCUGGAGCUAAACCCCCAGUCCCCUUA